rnacentral:lncRNA from 1 species
UUUGAUGAGAAGAACACGUCUUCUUCUGAUUAAACAGCAGAGAUCAAAGAAAAGACUUUUGUCUAUGUGUUAUCUGCACAGAAAGAGUUGAAAAGCACACAUCAAAGGAGGAUUGCCUUGCAAAGACAGG